ACACACUCACCAAGGUGUUUGCUGUUUUGCCCUGGGACAAUGUCACUGGCUCUGCUGACAGUGCACAUUUUGUCUGACACUGUGCAGAGCCUUUGCUGAGCUGGUUACUCUCCAUCACACAACAGGGGAACUGCUCAUUUCUACCUGAGCUACACACCUUGUGCUUGUCCUUAAACUCAACUUUAACCUUAAUCCUCUUCCCUAGUUCUCUGGGCUGGAAUUCCAGCAGUGUCAUUCCACUGGCUGAAACACACCACCUACUUCAUCACCCAAACAAUUACUGAGAAUACCAACUACUGGGCCUCCUCAUUCCUAUCAUGGCGCAAUUGCUGUUAGAAUUGUGGAAUUGGAUGGUAGAAUAUGUUUCAUCCUGCUUGUGUUUAGGUAAAAUCCCUGUAUGUUCCUUCACACACCUCCUGCAGCUGGAGGUCGUUCAGGCAGAAACUGUUCCCAGUUUUUUCUGAAUUGCCUUCAGGACAGAGGUGACUGCAAACUGGUGGAAGCAAUAGGACUAACAGGCUUGUUCAGGUUUGUGAAGACUUCAGGAGAUCCAGUCCUGGUGAAUGCAAGGAAAAGCAUGGGAAGCCUGCAGAUUGCAUACAGUGCAGUAAUGUGCACCAAUGCAUCGGGGCCUGGUGCUCAACACCUGAUUUCAGCAUUUGAAGACUAAUUGUUGAAGGGAAAAUCUGAAUAGUCUGAAGAAAUAAAUGAAAAUGGAGAUCUGCACUUAAAGAAGCCUUGAUUUGCAAAUCUGGCAAAAAAUAUGUUUGCAGAAGGAAUCCAGAUGUGUUGUUUUAUAUGUUUGGUACUCUAUUAAUAAAGGGUCCCCUAUAAAUACCAAAACCAUGACCCAUACCCAGCCAUUAGAGAGAAAAGGAAAAUAUUCUUGAGUGUAGCAAAGGGGCAUCAACUGCAUGCCCAGAUGGUUUUUUCCAUCUCUUACUCUUCAGUAUUGAUUUAUUUAACUUUGCAGAAGGUUAUGCCAGAAAGGAGGUGUGAAAAAACUACAAUAAAUAAUUAUAUCAUUUUCUUCAAUGUGAAAACCACCUAAAUUUCAAUAAUUUAUAGUACUGUUUUCAUUGUCAUACACCAGACUCCUGUCUGGAUGAUAUUUUGCUCCAACAAUGGUGUAAUUGAUGUGAUGUGAUGGAAAAUAUUGCAUAGGAGAGUACGUCAUCUACUGCCUCAGCUGAAGUUUUCAACAAGUUAAUAAUUCUUCAGUGUAGGACCAAAGUAUGAAAAAUUCUAUUUUAUCAAGAAAAGUGAGCAUCUUCCUUCAUCAUCCCAGAAAUAUUACACUGGA
rnacentral:lncRNA from 1 species